GGGAAGAUGGCUCAGUGGUAGAGUGCUUGCCUUGCAUGCAUGAGGUCCUGGGUUUCAUUCCU
rnacentral:tRNA from 1 species